rnacentral:rRNA from 1 species
CCUACGGGUGGCAGCAGUGGGGAAUAUUGCACAAUGGGCGCAAGCCUGAUGCUGCCAUGCCGCGUGUGUGAAGAAGGCCUUCGGGUUGUAAAGCACUUUCAGCGGGGAGGAAGGCGGUGAGGUUAAUAACCUCAUCGAUUGACGUUACCCGCAGAAGAAGCACCGGCUAACUCCGUGCCAGCAGCCGCGGUAAUACGGAGGGUGCAAGCGUUAAUCGGAAUUACUGGGCGUAAAGCGCACGCAGGCGGUCUGUCAAGUCGGAUGUGAAAUCCCCGGGCUCAACCUGGGAACUGCAUUCGAAACUGGCAGGCUAGAGUCUUGUAGAGGGGGGUAGAAUUCCAGGUGUAGCGGUGAACUGCGUAGAGAUCUGGGGGAAUACCGGUGGCGAAGGCGGCCCCCUGGACAAAGACUGACGCUCAGGUGCGAAAGCGUGGGGAGCAAACAGGAUUAGUACCUUGUAGUC